CGGAGGGAUCAUUACAGAGUUAUCUAACUCCCAAACCCAUGUGAACUUACCAUUGUUGCCUCGGCAGAACCUACCCGGUACCUACCCUGUAACGACCUACCCUGUAGCGAGUUACCCGGGAACGGCCUACCCUGUAGCGCGCUGCCGGUGGACUUCUAAACUCUUGUUAUUUAUUGUAAUCUGAGCGUCUUAUUUUAAUAAGUCAAAACUUUCAACAACGGAUCUCUUGGUUCUGGCAUCGAUGAAGAACGCAGCGAAAUGCGAUACGUAAUGUGAAUUGCAGAAUUCAGUGAAUCAUCGAAUCUUUGAACGCACAUUGCGCCCAUUAGUAUUCUAGUGGGCAUGCCUGUUCGAGCGUCAUUUCAACCCUUAAGCCUAGCUUAGUGUUGGGAGUCUACUGUAUUGUAGCUCCCCAAAUCCAACGGCGGAUCUGUGGUAUCCUCUGAGCGUAGUAAUUUUUUUCUCGCUUUGGCUAGGUGCUGCAGCUCUCAGCCGCUAAACCCCCCAAUUUUUUAAUGGUUGACCUCGGAUCAGGUAGGAAUACCCGCUGAACUUAAGCAU
rnacentral:rRNA from 1 species